rnacentral:tRNA from 1 species
GGAGAGUUGGCCGAGUGGUCUAAGGCGGCGGAUUGCUAAUCCGUAGUGGGGGUCACGACCCUCACCGAGAGUUCGAAUCUCUCACUCUCCG